GCCGGGUAAGUGCCAUACGGCAUGCUCCCUCUAAUCCCCCAGGACUUGACCGUAGCAAGGGCGUGAGGUUGUAGCGGCGCGAUAUGGAGAGCUUACCCU
rnacentral:SRP_RNA from 1 species